GGGGAAUUGUUCGCAAUGGGCGCAAGCCUGACGACGCAACGCCGCGUGGAGGACGAAGAUCUUCGGGUCGUAAACUCCUUUCGAUCGGGAAGAACGUUUCGGGGGUGAAUAAUCCCCGGAAGUGACGGUACCGCGAGAAGAAGCCCCGGCUAACUCUGUGCCAGCAGCCGCGGUAAUACAGGGGGGGCAAGCGUUGUUCGGAAUUACUGGGCGUAAAGCGCGUGUAGGCGGUUAUCCAAGUCGGGUGUGAAAGCCUUGAGCUCAACUCAAGAAAUGCACUCGGUACUGGGUGACUAGAGGACCGGAGAGGAUAGUGGAAUUCCCGGUGUAGUGGUGAAAUACGUAGAGAUUGGGAAGAACACCAGUGGCGAAGGCGGCUAUCUGGACGGUUUCUGACGCUAAGACGCGAAAGCGUGGGGAGCAAAC
rnacentral:rRNA from 1 species